UACGGGGGGGGGCAAGCGUUGUUCGGAAUUACUGGGCGUAAAGGGCUCGUAGGUGGCCAACUAAGUCAGACGUGAAAUCCCUCAGCUUAACUGGGGAACUGCGUCUGAUACUGGAUGGCUUGAGUUUGGGAGAGGGAUGCGGAAUUCCAGGUGUAGCGGUGAAAUGCGUAGAUAUCUGGAGGAACACCGGUGGCGAAGGCGGCAUCCUGGACCAACACUGACACUGAUGAGCGAAAGCCAGGGGAGCAAACGGGAUUAGA
rnacentral:rRNA from 1 species